UGAAGAACAAUUCCACCUAUGUCUAGCUUAGUGGCUCUACUGAACUUACUUACAGGAGCAUAGGUGAGGGGUUACUUACUUACAGGAGCAUAGGUAAGGGGUUACUUACUUACAGGAGCAUAGGUAAGGGGUUACUUACUUACAGGAGCAUAGGUGAGGGGUUACUUACUUACAGGAGCAUAGGUGAGGGGUUACUUACUUACAGGAGCAUAGGUGAGGGGUUACUUACUUACAGGAGCAUAGGUGAGGGGUUACUUACUUACUUACAGGAGCAUAGGUGAGGGGUUACUUACUUACUUACAGGAGCAUAGGUGAGGGGUUACUUACUUACUUACAGGAGCAUAGGUGAGGGGUUACUUACUUACAGGAGCAUAGGUGAGGGGUUACUUACUUACAGGAGCAUAGGUGAGGGGUUACUUACUUACAGGAGCAUAGGUGAGGGGUUACUUACUUACAGGAGCAUAGGUGAGGGGUUACUUACUUACAGGAGCAUAGGUGAGGGGUUACUUACUUACAGGAGCAUAGGUGAGGGGUUACUUACUUACAGGAGCAUAGGUGAGGGGUUACUUACUUACUUACAGGAGCAUAGGUGAGGGGUUACUUACAGGAGCAUAGGUGAGGGGUUACUUACUUACAGGAGCAUAGGUGAGGGGUUCCUUAC